rnacentral:rRNA from 1 species
UACGUAGGGUGCAAGCGUUGUCCGGAAUUAUUGGGCGUAAAGAGCUCGUAGGCGGUCUGUUGCGUCGGCUGUGAAAAUCCGGGGCUCAACUCCGGGCCUGCAGCCGAUACGGGCAGACUAGAGUUCGGCAGGGGAGACUGGAAUUCCUGGUGUAGCGGUGAAAUGCGCAGAUAUCAGGAGGAACACCGGUGGCGAAGGCGGGUCUCUGGGCCGAUACUGACGCUGAGGAGCGAAAGCGUGGGGGAGCGAACAGG